CCAAUAGCGUAUAUUAAAGUUGUUGCAGUUAAAAAGCUCGUAGUUGAAUUUCGGGGUUAGUAGAUUGGUCAUGCCUUCGGUAUGUACUGGUCUUACUGAUUCCUCCUUCCUGAUGAACCGUAAUGCCAUUAAUUUGGUGUUGCGGGGAAACUGGACUGUUACUUUGAAAAAAUUAGAGUGUUUAAAGCAGGCUAACGCUUGAAUACAUUAGCAUGGAAUAAUGAAAUAGGACGUUCGAUCUUAUUUUGUUGGUUUCUAGGAUUGACGUAAUGAUUAAUAGGGAUAGUUGGGGGCAUUAGUAUUCAAUUGUCAGAGGUGAAAUUCUUGGAUUUAUUGAAGACUAACUACUGCGAAAGCAUUUGCCAAGGAUGUUUUCAUUAAUCAAGAACGAAAGUUAGGGGAUCGAAGACGAUCAGAUACCGUCGUAGUCUUAACCAUAAACUAUGCCGACUAGGGAUCGGAUGAUGUUAAUUUUUUAAUGACUCAUUCGGCGCCUUACG
rnacentral:rRNA from 1 species